UUUUCCUUCUCCCGUCGCAAGACUAGCGAAAGUCGCCGUCGAAUCAUGUGGCUUGGGAGAGCGGGCUCUCACGGGGCAAAUUGAAGCUUCUGCUCAACGUUUCAAGAAUGGCAGUAUCUCUUAGUAUGACUCAGGGGGAAAGGAGAGACGGUGCUCUGGUACCCCCGAGGUCGUACUUUUUAGGAGCUGUUAGGGAAGUAGUAUCUGGGCCAAGACCAGAGCAGUGGUGUCCGCAGAGCAAAUCUGCUGGUUCUCACAGCACACUGUACCUUUUGCACACACACACACACACCGAGCACAGGGUACCUUUUACACACACGCCCACAGCCACCCACCAUUUAAGAUUCACGGAGCAAAUUUUAUCUAGUAAUAGAGGGGCUUCUAUGCUUUUUAAGUCAUGGCUUCCCUUGCCAGGUUGCUGCAGCCUAGGGAUUCCUUCACAGAAUGAUCUUUACAAGUGUAAGCCUCAAAAUUUCUCAGACUUAUGAAUGUUAGGGGUUUCCCCCAUCGGAGAAUCUUCUACUUAAAAAAAAAAAAUUCCCUAGCAGAUAGUGAGAAUUCUACUUGAAUGUGAGGGCUCCUUGCCUUGGGAAUAUCCCUACUCCACCCUACUUAGGACUGCUUUAGGACAGAGAGCUCCCUGAGAACAAUGAAAAGUACUUUGAUCCAUGCUUAUGGAAGGGACAGGAAGUUCUUUGAGUCCUGACUGUUUUAGAAUUGAUACAAUAGGAUACUAAGUACCUAUAAAGGUGGGGCAACUUGUAAACUACUUAAAAAGGGUGAUAACUUAUUCAGAGUUUUUUUCCUAAUGAAAUGUGUCAACACAGCAGCAUUUUUUUCCUGACUUACUAAAGAGAUUAAAACUACUCAGCUGUGAAUUCAAAAUGGGUGGUCCUUUAGAAACAUCUACAGUGAUUGGUAGAUGUAAGGACUUAGGGGAGGUGACAGAGAAGAUUUUGCCCUUAAAAAUAAGAGCUCAGGGAAGAGCUGGGAAGUCAUUCUGAAACAUUCAGAUUGGAGAGACUCAUUCUGAGGAGACUGAUUAUGAAACAUUCAGAUGGAGGAGGGAGCUGGUGAAAGCAGCUGAGAUGCUGCUGGCUUGGUGUCACUAAAAUCUUUGUUUAGUUAGACCUUGUGGUGAGUGUUAAAAAAACUGAUUUUCUUAAGGCUCAGGUCUAGGCCAUAUUGGCUUGAGGCCCUUCAUUAUUUAUUCCUUUCUUACUCUCUCUCUCUUUCUUUGAUUACUCAUUGUAUUGUUAAUUAAAAUCUCUAUAAAACCCAAUUGACUUGGGUACUUGAAUAAUUGGGAAUAUUUCCCUGGCGACCACCUUAUAUUUGAUUUUAAACCCAAGACACUGUAGUGAAACAUAUUUCUGCGGUCAAAUUUACUCACCCUCUCUUAUAUCUAUCACAAUUUAUAUCUUCCACUAUUUUAAUCACUACAGUUUAAGACCUCAACCAUUUUAAAUCUCACACAAGUACAUAAAAUACAAUAUAUUGUAUAUACAGGAUUAUAGAGAAAACUUAUUUGCUUUGAAAUAAUGGUCAUCAAAGUGUUUAAAUAUUUUUUGUUUAAAGCAAGUUCAGGGCCUACCUUUUUCUCUUUUUCUAGCCUUCUUAUACCUUACCCAAAUUACUCAGAACAGUGCCCCUGACCUGUUGGUUCGAGAUGCACCAUCUAGUAUUUUCACCCGCAAAGAUGCUUAAAAUGCUCUACUACCCAAUCUCUGGCUCCUUUCAAUAGCCAAAUAAAAUACGGCCUUCUGCAAGAAGCCUCCCCAUCCCCAUCCCCAUCCCCCUUAAUCCUAGUGCCUUUCCUCUUCUGAUUAAUCAUCUCCAAUUUAUCAUAUAUAUAUCUUGAUUGUAUUAUGGUUGUCCCUCCUCCCCUCCCCCAUUAAUCUGAGCUUGAGAACCUUUCCUUGUAUCUCCAGUACUUAGGGAUCUUAACAGAGCAAGAGCUUAAUAAGUACUUAUUAUAAAUGGCAGUUAGAUGGUUCAGUGGAUAGAGCUCCUGGGCCUGGAGUCCAGAAGACCUGGAUUUGAAUGCAACACCAGACUUUUACUGGCUGUGUGUUCUUGGGAUAGUUGUUUAACUUCUGUUUUGCUUGAAUUUCCUCAACUAUAAAAUGGGGGCUAUUGUAAUACUUGCUUCUCAGACUUAUGAGAAUCAAAUGAGGUAAUAUUUGUAAAAGCAUCUAGCAAUCUGAAUACCCUCAGGUUGUGAACGCCUGCUAUACUAGAACAGGCCUCUUCUUGAGGUUGGGCUCUCCUUUGUUGAGGGCCUGUUUGGAGUUGGUGCCAAAAAAAAGAAAGCCAGGCAUCACAGGACAUAUCUAUAGAGCUGGGAGAAAGCUUGAAGGUUAUCUAACAGUCUCACCCUCUCCUUUUAGAAAUGAGAAUUAAGAUCCAGAGAAGUUCAGCUGGAAGAAGUAGUAGGUAGGAUUGAGUUGUCAGGGAAAAGACUAUUUCUUCCUAUACUUGACUCCAACUCCAACAGAAACAAAUUCACAUUAGAAAUUCAGGUCACCAUUAUUACUGUUUGAAAACGGAGAUAUCCACUUGGCCAAAGAUGACUUUGAAAGGCAAUUAGGGAAAGCCUUUGGAAGAAAAAGACGUCCCCCAUCUUGUAAAGGGUAGAAAGUUUGAAUACAUUAACUACAUUCUGAAAAGACCAACAUGCCAAUGAAUGUGCUAGGGGACCACAAAACCAAACUCUUAUACAUAAGAUUCUAAAGAGUUUGGGUGGUGAAUAUGAUCAAACUGAAACUUAUCACCCUAAAGCUACAAGAAAAGAAGUGGCUUUAGAACCAGGAAGUACUAGCUUCUAGCAGAAGUAAAUCUAUGCUUUCUUGUCUGGAAGAGGCUAGGCAUAGAGCUCUGAAGCUUCUACUUAUCACAAGGUAGAGGUCAUUACCCUAGCCCAAAGACCUUUAUAGCACCAUAUUGGUUGUCAUUGCUGAUCCUUUAUUUUCAAAAAGGAUCAAUAACAUCACGGGGUGAUAUCUUGACUUUGAGUGAAUUUAAAUUUAAGUGAUAUAGUUAUGCAAAAUCAGCCUUACUAUCUCUUCCAAAGUCAUCCAAGUCCAGUGGCAAAGCAAAAGUCAGGAGAACCAAUGAUGACCCAGGAUGUAGUACAUGACCUUGGCAUCUUCAAUGUCUGACCAAGUCCUAGGUACUCCAUAAUGCCUACUUAGUUAUCUUCAUGGCUAUUGGAACAAACUGUGCCCACUCUCGGUAUAUUUGUGAGAGACUAGACUCUCAAUAGAUUCUGGGUAUAUUUGUGGGGAAGUGUGGGAAGUGUAUCUUCCCCAGGUAUUGGGGAAGAUAUUGGUAACUGGUAUUCUUAUCAUGUGAUUUGAACCUUUAGUCUACUGUGGAGGGAAAGAAAAGGGAAUAAGCAUUUAUAUGUGUCAGGCACUGUAAUAAGGGUUUUGCAAACUUGAGUCCAGAUUUAAACUGAGAUCUUCCCCAACUAUAGGCCCAGAGCUGUAUCCCCUGUACUACCUUGCUGCCUACUAGUUGACUGUUAUGGGGAAGUACAACCAUGGGGGCCUCAAGAGCUAGUAUUUAGGACAAUCAUCCAUGAGUUACCUCUAGAGCCCUGGGAAUUGUAACUACUACACCUGGAGUCCAACCAGUCAAUGAAGCUGUAAGGAAUUAAAUUUUAAGUGUUUGACUAAAUGUGUAUAUUCUAAAAUAAUCUUGUGGUCACCGAUUUAAAAUAUUGCUCAAAUUCAAAAUGACUUUUAAUAGCUUUUAUUUACAAAAGAGUGAAAGUAGAGAAAUACAGGAGGAAAAAAGGUAGAUAAGAUGUCUAGCCUAUCACACUAAAUAUUGCUCCAGUGCUCAGUUCAACCAGCCUCCUCCAAAAGAGGAAGGCCUCUCCGGAACUAAUCUCUCUCCAGGAAGUCAGGAAAGGAAAGACCAGCUACUCACUCACCCAAUUAACAGUCCAAGAGCCAAGAUCCAAGUAGAAGGUGAGUGUAAGUCCAAAGUCAUCUUCUAGAGGCAGGUUACCAGCCAAAGCUCCAAGCCCAAGAUCCAAGCCCAAGUCUCCAGUGAAGCUCUUCUGAAGACAACCUCCUGAAAACUAUCUCUAGAAGUCUGCCCCCAGCUGGAAGAAGUUCAUGACUUUUAUAGUGACUUCUUGUCUCUUCCCCUCUUCACGGGGGCCAAUCACAAAUUCCAAAAUGCCUAGCACUGCCCAGGGGUACAGUGUCUGUGGGAUUCACACCUCUCAUCCUCUGAAGGUUUAAACUCUUAUCAAAACGAUUCACAAGUUCCUGACUGAUUUGAGUUUCUGAGGGUGUGAACUCUUUAAGUGACUUGUGAAUUCUCUUACUUGAGGGCUAACAAAGUGUUUUCAGUUUUUGGUUGAUUAAAUUAAAAGUUGUUGAUUGACAGACAAAGAGUUUGAUUCACACUUGAUAGAGCUGUGAGUUAAGCAAGUGAAAUCCAAGGAGCUUCAAAUCUAAAUGCUUAAAAUAGGUACAGAGUAUAUGUAAGAGGAACAGCUGUGGCACAAAAGAUGCUACAAAUAAUUGAUGCAAAUGGACAUAAGUUCAUUAGAGAAGUACAGAAAACUGUGGCAUAUUUAUUUAUAGGAGGUAGCACCAGUGGCAUCUGUGAGACAGAGAAGACUAGGCUUUAUGAAGACACCAAGAAGAGAUUGUCCUUAAGCUUUCUAUCUUCCCCACAUCCUAGUAUACUACUUACUGGAUACUUAAUAAAUGUGUAUUUAAUGGAAUGGAAUGAAAUUACUUCCAUAGUAUGGGAAAAAAAGCAUUUAUUCCAUGCAGACUAGACAACUUUCUCCCCCAAAAUCAAUGAAACCAUCUUCAAAACUUAAUUCUUAAAAGUGGUUUAAGGCUCAAACUGCUAAUAAAACUUAGUAGUUCUAUAAGAGCAAACAUGAGCUGCUCAGCCUUGAUGUAUUCUGACUGGGUACAGCAUUAUAGCAAAAAAAAGUAAGGAAAAAUUUCCCCUAAAUGAAUCAAUACUGUAUUCUUACUGAAUAUAUUUCUAAGCUAUUGUUAAAUAAAUUGUUAUUGUUGUUAAAUGUUAAUUGGUCUCAUGUUCCAGUUGCAAACUUGACCCAUUGGACUAGCCUGAGUCAGGCUUGUCCCAGUAUUAAUGGAAUAGAAGUUUAUAAAAAUGUUAAACUGAUGAUAUCAGAAAAUAGUCAAAGAAUAUGAACAGGAAGUUUUCAAAUGAAGAAGUCAAAGCUAUCUCAUGUCACAUGAAAAAAUGCACCAAAUCACUAUUGAUUAGAGGAAUACAAAUUAAAACUGCUUCACAUCUAUCAGACUGGACAAUAUGACCAAAAAUGAAAAUAAAUGUUGGAGGGGAGGUAGAAAAAUUGAGACACUAAAGCAUUGUUGAUGAAGUUGUAUGACAUGGCAGCCAAAAAAAUGAAUGCAAAUUUAGACUGAAUCAAUACAACCAUGCUAUUCAGAACAAAGAUGGGAAUAUUCUUGUUAUAUUUUAUUUGUACCUAGAUUAUUGUGCACAAUUCUAGGUGCCUUCUUUUAGAAAGGAUGGAAUAUGACAAGAUAUGUAUAAUCAAAAUGGUAGAGGGGUCCAAGCAAUGUCAAUGAAGGAAAUAGGGAGAUUUCACUUAAAUAAAGGGUUGCUGUCAUCUUGUGGAAGGAUGAGAUGUGUUCUAUUCAGCCGUAGAGGGAAGAAUUAGCAGAAACAAAUGGUAAUUGCAGAGGCAGAUAUCAACAGAAUUUGAGCUGUCCAAAAGGAGAAUUGAAAGCCUUUAGAGGUAAUGAGUUCCUGUUCAUUGGGGGUCUUCAAAAAAAACUACAUACCCACUUAUUAAGAAUAUCAUAAAGAGUAGGAGUUGGACUAGAUGACUUUUGAGAUCCCUUUGAACUCUCAGAUUUUAUUGCUCAUGGUAUAAGUGAGGACCUUGUUUUGUUUUAUUUGUUUUGGGGUUUAGCCUGUUAUUUUAUUAGUAUUUGGAACUCGGAAUAUCCCUCUACUAAAGCAGACCUGCACCUGCUGGGCAGUUUUUCCUCUUAGAGAGUUUUCUUAGGGCACUGAAAAUUUAAGUGAUUUGCCCAGGAUCACAAAGGUAGUAUGUGUCAGAGGUAGCACUUGAAUUCAGUUCUCCCCAACUCCUUAUAUAAUCCAUUAAUAAAGAAAACAACAUAAUUUAACAAAACAAGCUCUGAAAUGGAUAGUAGAACUGGAUUCUAAUCUCAGAUCUGUUACAAUCAUGAAAACUCAAUAAUUCAUCUACAUAGAGGUGUAGCACUUAUAGAUUUUGGACUUACUCUUCCAGCCUACAUAUGCCCAAGGAGGUUAGUUCUGCAAGAUGGCAGCUGACUACACCCCUCUCAAGAUUUAAGGGGUAACUCUAAGGGGUUGGAUUGUCUUUCUAAUGCCAUCUAUUCUGUUGUGUUCUCCCAGUAGUAGUUGUCAGUUAUAGCUAAUUUUUUCCCUACAUAGGACUGACUAACCCAGCAAUUAAUGCCCCAAUAUAAUUUAAUCAAUAACAUCAAUUGGCUUUUUUCAAAGGAAUGUUUACUGAAAUGUAGACAUACAAAGAACACACACACACACACUGAACUAGGAGCACACAUCCUCUUUUAUCAACUUGGCCUCUGUGGAGGAUGGGCUCAUGUUUAAAGAGAUACAAGAAAGCAUUUGCCCCAACAAGUUUACUUCAGAAUAUUGCAUAGCUUCUGGAUGAAUUGCUCCCUUGCUCUAAGACAUAACUUUUUGGCUGCUGUUAAUCUACUGCUGGGCUGAAUCCCACAGUUGGUCCUUGGGGCUAUACUUCCCAUUCGAUUCAGCUGCUGGAUGAUUCUGAUAUGGUCUUGAGCUCCUCAUGUUCUUUUGACCUUUCAAAGCUAAGGUCACAGUCUAGUUUACUUCAUCAUCAACACUCAUUCUGCCUAACCACAGGAAAAAACAAACAAACAGAGGCAAAGAACAGAGGCAUCAUGUAUUUGAGGCCAUCUGUAAGCCUAGGUAGGAAGGUUAGGCUUCUAUACCACCACCCCACCACCCCACGCCACAUACACAACUGUAGGCUUGUAUCAGUUAUUGCCUUGGUCACCAUCAGGAAAAUAAAACUUGAACUGGCUGGUUAGUGCUUUUUGUAUCCAGGCUUAUCCAUGAGUUGUGGCUCAACAGUCAAGCAAAAGGUCUUUUUUUUUACCAUGUAAUAAAAAAGGAAAUCAUCACAAAAUACCUAAAUAUAGUCAUAAAAUAUCCCUCCAUGUUCUGGAGAGCCAAAGCCCUCUGGAAAUUCCAUGUCAUCAUGAACUUCUAGAAGCAGGGUCACAGAACCCCAACAUGGGUAUUCAACAUAUAGUACCCCACGGAUACUCAAAGAAUGGAGAUCUCUUUUUCCAAUCCUCCCACUAUACUUGUAUUUACUUCUACCUCGGGAGAAAAUAUAUACUUAAAAACUAUGACAAGGAGACAAAUGUUUUCCACUCUUCUGAUCAUCAGUAUCAGGAAAGGCAGAAAAUGACAAGGCCAAAGGGUCAACAGGGAGGUUUGCCAUCCUCAUUUCUGCUCUUGGUCUUAAGUCCUGGGAUCUCUAGUGAGCAUUUUCUAAUUUGACCCAGACAUAGCAUGCUGCUUUCUCACCAUCUUCAUGUCAUGCUAACUGCAUGUGUGUGCACACACACAUCCAUAUUCUUUGUUUACCACUUGCCUUAACUCCAGCUUUUCACCUUUGGUUCUGUGUACAGUAAUCAAAUCAAUACAAUCAUUCUGGGGGAGGAUAUGCCAUUGAGUUGGCUUUUGUCUCCACUCACCAACCCUGUGACUUCCCAGAUUACUCCCCAGACUUCUCCCUAGCCACUACUCCUCUAUAUGUGUUGUCUUCUCAUAUAAAAUGGAAGUUUUUUGAGAGCUGGGAUUGUCUUGCUCUUUAUAUUUAUAUCCCCUAUGUCUAGCACAGUGCCUGAUACAUACUAAGUACUUAAUAAAUGCUUUUUCAUUCAUUAAUUAGGGAUUUCCUCUAAAUGGUAGUCUUCUAGAUGUUCUUCUUUGUGCUUGAAAUUGUGUUGGUUGCAUCAAGAACCGGAAUAUUGCAAAGUCUCCUGGAAAAGAUGAUAUCCAUUUGAAAGUUUGGCAAAACCAAGCAAACAGGAAAAAAAAGUGAAUGAAGGAUGCUUAUUGUCUAAAUUAUAAAAUGCAGUUAGGUUAGUAACCAAUAGGAGUUAACCAUCAAUGGAUACACAACACAAAAGGAACAGGUUAAAACUGCAAAGUUUCCAAAUUGUCUCCCUGAAACAAAGACCCAUUUUUUUUAUGCCAAUAUUCUACCAGUGUUAUAUGUUUGAGAGGCUUGGAACACUUACUCUCCAAAGAAUUUAACAUGAGUGUUACUUAGAGGACAAUGGAGAAGCACAUGAUGGUUGUGAGUAUAUCCUAAUACAUUACAAAUCAAUCAGUAACUAAAAAGAUGUUUUUGAAGAAAUACAUGGUUAAAAAAAUGGGUUGGUAACAUAAUAGAAGCAAAGGACAUCAUGAGAAAGCCUGUGCUUUCAACUGGUAUCAUUUCAGUGUAAAAAAAAAAUUGAGAAAGGUCCUUAGCAACUUCCAUAAAAAAUGGCACAGAAUCAGUAAGCAUGGAUGGGUUGUAACCUGCCUAAUUAGAGGGAUCAUCCAAAUAGAUGAGAUUGCCGGUCCACUGGAGUAUUGAGUAUAUUUAAAGUGUUCAUUUGGCUACCAUUCAAAACCUGAAAGUCAUUUCUCAAUAUUAUAACAGCUCAAAUUUACACGUGGAAAAGCCUUUAAACAAUUAGAGCUGGGUAGUAAUAGAAUGGGUUCUCUUAGUAGGUAAUGAAUUUCUCCUCCCUGGAGAUCUUUAAACAUAGAUUAGAUGAUCCUUGUUGAGUAUUUUGUAAAAGGGAUUCAGGCUUCAUGUAUGGAUUUAGACUUAAAGACCUUUAAGGAUGUUUCCAACUCUUAUAUGAUAUAAUCCUAUAUAAGAUUUUUUUGGUUAUGCUUUUCUUUUGAAAGUGAACAGUUAGGCCUAUAAUUUGGUCCAUGUGGGAAAACUCCCUAGUGGAGUGUAGAAAUUCCCUCCACUUGUAGAUCAGCAACUCACCUGUAACUGACUUCUUAGAGAGUUAUCUAGUGCAAUAAGAAAUCAUCAGGCACUAGAACAAAGACAAAAAAAUGAAACAGCCCUUGACUUUAAGGAGCAUAUGGGGGUUGGGUGAUAUAACAGUUAAAUUAGGAGUUUUAGCAAAUAAGAGAGCAGCUUUUAACAAUUAAUAAUUUAGUUUAAUUAAAAUAGAUAGUAAAAGAAUAUGAUAAAUAUAGGAAAGAAGGUAGAGAAAGAAAAUUUCCUAAUGUCUAUACUAGUUAUCCUAUAACUACCUAUAAUUAUGUAAAAAUUAAAAUUAGAUAUCAGUAAUAAAAAUAUAUUUUAGGAGAUUUAUUAUUGAUCAUUAGAAAUAAAGGAAUAGAGGAUACAAAAUAAUUAUUAUGUGCCCAUGGCUGAUCAACCCAUUUAAAAUCCCUGUGCUUCACUAACCACCACCACCAAGCUUGAUGUCAUCAUGACAAAGAGACCCAAGAGGAGAGCUCACUCACUAAUAUCCUCUGUCUACAAGAAGUAUGUAACAACAGGAAAUCAGUGGGCUCCCAGGAAAUGUAGUUCUUUUUUUAGGGUAACAGAUUUUCAAUUAUGCAUUCUUCCCUGAGAUCCGUGGAAGACUGUUCUCUCCAAUGGAUCUUGUAAACAUAACCAACUUUGAAAUUACAAUAAUUUGAGGAUAAGAGGAAAAGAGAACAAAACCAAUGAAUGACAAAAAGCCAGUUAGGGGGAAGUCCCCAUUUGCCUUAAGAGUACACAUACAAAAAGAAAUGCAUUCAACCCCACACAGUUCAAAUCACAACAUCCCAAAGUUCACUCUGGAUCUUCUGGUGCAGUGUGUCGUCUGUGGAGGCAUCCUUGUGGUGCCUUCUCAAACAGUUCACUUUCUAAAUUCAGAGCGGUAGUAUGUUUCUUAUCCUAAAAAUAUUCUCAAAAAGAAUUUAAACUUUGCAUUCUAAAAUAAUAAUACAUUCCCCCCUGAAGAGGGUGUUGAAAAACACAGGGAUCACUUAGGGAUACAUGGCUGAGUUAUGAGGUAAAUGAAUCAACUGACAAGAGAAAUCAAAAACAUUUUUAAAAAUCCAAAGAAAAAAUAAUUUCUGGAUGAAAUAUAGACUGUCAAAGCCUUAUGUGCAAACAUUUUAAAAUGUAAAGGAAAAUAAACCUAUAACAGUUGAUUGAAUCAGAGUCCAAUUAAAAUGAUUUACAUACUUAUGCACAUACCCAAUCAGUAGCCAGGAUUAUAGAAAGUUUGCCAUAUUAUGAAAGACAGAAUAGGGACUAAAUUAUAGGAGCCAAAUUUGAGAUACUUGGUAGAAUGUGGGACAAGGAAGACAUGUCUUUGACAUAUGUCAAAACAGCUGCAACCUCAAACCCCAAACAAGUUCCAAUCCUCUUGUCUUGGCUCAAAAUUUUGUCAAUCCCACUGGGAUUGGUUGUUCUCUUUGAAUUUGUGCUCGAUUGGCACUAUGCAGUUUAGCUUUGUGCUUCUUUGGCACUAUACAAUGGUUCUUUUUGUAUUCUCUUGUCCUGGAAUCAGACAGAAUCAUUAAUCAAAGUCCCAUAAUUUUUUAAACAAUCAAUGGCAUCAUUUUUAUAAAGCUUUUUGGUUAUGCAUUGAUAUUAGGACAAAUGUAUUUUAAACUUGUAUUGCUGCCAAAUUGAGAAAGUUAAAGAAAAAUCUCAAUACUGUUGACAUGUGUUUCAAAUAUAAAAAGAAGAGAAAAAAAUGAAACUCAUACUAUAUUGCACAUCAAAGAAAAUCACAAAAAGGUUUUAAAAUUCAAAAUAUAUAGCUUACAAUCAUUGACACACUGUGUCAGUUAAGAAAAGGUAGAAUACAAAGGUCUCUCACCCCCCUAAAUGAGAUCCAUUCCUUUUCAAAUUUGGCCAUAAUCCACUGUUUACAAAGAAACAGUUUUUAUAAAGAACAAUAGUACAACAUGUAAUACACAUUCAAGAAGUAUCAGAAUCCCCAAAGUUAUAAGAGCCCAUUUAAUGGCAAUAGCAAACAAACUCACUAUCAUUUGAAUUCAUAUGAGUCUGCUAUAUGGCAUUUUAAAAACCUAUGAAUUGUUGGAUAUUUUUUACAGAUGUAGCAUAUCUUUCAACCUUUGCUGAGAUAUUGUUUUUUAAAAAAUCUUAUUACCGCCAUCAUUACAAAAAUGUGGCAGAGAAAAACAAAUCUCUGUACUGUUGAUGUUGGGUCUAAAAAUGUCACCAAGAAUCUAGAUAAUUCUGGGGGAAGGGGAGAGUGAGCCAAAGAGUUGCAAAUGAGAGAUGCUCCCUCUUGGGAGCCAUCCAGGGGUACCAUGCCCUGGGAUCAACUUCAUAGCUCCUUUGGUAUGAGACUGUUAUGUCCUGUCCAUUCACAUUUUUUCAAAUGCAGGAGGUGGGGAUUAUAAUAGUGCUUCACUUCAGCUACUAAAAUGGACUCUUUACCUCUUGUUACAAAUAACUCAAAGACAGGCAAAAUGAUCAAAGUUGUUGAAAGAAAAAAAAAUCUAAAAACCAUGUCUAAAGACCCCAUAAAAUCAAUUUAAGAUAUUUAGCUCAUUAAAUUUUCCAAAGGUUGUUAUACAAUUGUAACCAGUUUUGAUGAAGUCCAAUCAUCCUCUAUGUGACAAUUUACAAAGCCAAAAUGGAAGAAAAAGCUGGUUGUUUUUUUUCCCCCAUUGGGAUUAUUCAAUAGUAUUUGUUCAGUAUAGUUAUAGGGGGAUUGUUAGGGGUAAAUUUUAUGGUUGGACUGAAUAUAUAUUUUAGUUGGUCACCAGGGGUUUAAAUUCUAAAUCCCAAUGAAAUACUCAAGUCAGAAUGGAAAUUUAUGGUGGUUUAUUUACAAUAGAAGGAAGAAAUUAAGAAUAAGAGAGAAGAAAAAAGGAAGGAUAGAUGCCCUGGCUUGGUCUGAACCCAGCAGGAUUUCAGAGGCCUCAGCCAAGAGGUCUCUCCAGAGGCUGGUGGCUCCAGAAAAACCAAGGAAAGGGGAGUCAGCCUUAUCAUUCACCACAUGAUCAUCUAAGCGAAGCAGUCUCAAGUCUCACACUUGAGCUCCUCCACAGUCAAGUUCCACCGCCCAGUCUCUCUCACAGGAAGAGAUGCAAAAUAUAAAGGCAGUUAUUUAUGUCACUUCCUGUGUUUCACAUGUACCAAUAAUGGCUUAAACUUGGCUUUGGACAGCCCAGGGGGUCAGUUAGUUGUUUCUCAUUUGUCACUUGCUAGCACACAUGGGUCAUAGACCUUCCACCCCCACACUUAAUCCUUAAGUGGGGGUGUAUAUAUUCCUUGUUGCUAAAAUUCUAAAGACUAAGCAGGGUGGAGUAAAUCUAAAAUUCACAAAAAGUAACAGAAUAUAACUAAUAGUUAAAACACAGUAGAUUAAACUGAUUCAGUGUAACAGAAUAGUAUUGAAUACAUUAAUAUAUGAACUUAAAACAACACAAUUAAAUCUUAAAGCAGACCAUUAGCAUAAUACAAUAAAGUACAGAGACUUUCAUAAAACAAUGGAGUCUGAAGAGGCUUAAAAAUUUUCACCUCCAGUCUCUUUAAGGUUCCUUUCUCUAUCUCUUCAGAUUCCUUUUGUCAGAACUAUGGUAUUUCCCAUAGCAAGGGAGAACAUGGGUUCGAGGAAUCUCAAACUGGAUGAAUCUCAGAGACUGGGCAGACCCAAGUGACAAAGGGUUGUAGGGAGAUGAAUUUCUCCCCUGAAUCUCAGGCAAGCUGUGAAAAGGUAUAUACUACAGAAUGUAUCAACUCACUCACAAAGAUCCUAUUGACAAGAACUCAUCUUCCUCUUUCAUUCCCUUGAGACUAUUUAUAUCUUCCCGCAAAUCUUCCUUAAAGGAAGUAUCCAACAUACUGAAAGUCUUCUUCAAGCUAUAUCUUGAAAUCUCUCAAGGGUAUCAGGGUACAUCAUUCCAGGAAGUGGCUCACCUGGGUGACCUGGACAUGAAACAGCCUCCACUAUUUAAAAAAUAAGGCAGAAGCCAUGGACCUCUGGAAUGCAGCAGAAGACUAAUCUGAAGUGCUGUGGUCAUGUUAUUGAGCAAAGGCUUCAGGCAAACAGAGUAAGAAAUGGAGCCCAAGGAGAAAAAUGUAUAAUUUAACACAUUAUUUUUUAAAAAACGAUUUACAUAAUACAUUUGGGUUUUGACACAAUGGAUGCUUCCGGAAACACACAAACAAAUGUCCUUAAAAAGUUUACUUUCCAAUAUACAUAUGAUGAAGGGUAAAUUUUGUUUUAAUUUUUAUUGUUAUCUGUUUUAAAAUCAUGUAUAUUAUCUACCAUAUCCCUCUUCCUCAUCCUUUCCCAAAGUCAUCAGAACUGGUACAAGGAAUUUCUUUAAAGAGGAAGAAAAAAAAUGUUCUGCAAAAGUAACCAAAAUAUUGAAAAAGGGGACAGCUGGGUAGUGUUGUGAAAAUUUUCACCUUUUAAGAGUAUUAUAAUAUUGAACAAUGGCCACCAAGGAAUUUACUUAUGAAAUUCCUAAAAUGAAACACUCAAGUCAGAAUGGAGUAAAUAUACUAAAUGUUUCUUUUUUUAAUUUUUUAAUUCAUAUAAUUUCAGAAUGGAGUUUAUGGAGGUUUAAUCACAAUGAGUGUAGGGAAAAGGAGAGGGAGAGGAGAGAGGAGAAAAGGGAAAGGGGUUACUCAACCUCUGACCAAGGCAGAGGGAGUUUAGGCCCAAAGGGCCAAUGGAAGGAAUCAGUCCUUGACUCACGUGACUGAUCUGAAGGGAAGCUGUCUGUGGGCCUCCUCUCUGUUCAAGCUUCUAACACGAACUGCCCUCUAGCCCUCUCUACAGGAAGUGAGCGAAUUCCGGAGGCUGCUCUCUCCGUCACUUCCUGUGCCUCACACGUGCCAAUGGUGGCUCAAGCUUGGCUUAGGACAGUCCAGGUGGGCAGUUAGUUAUUUCUGAUUUGUCAUUGACUAGCACAUGCCCGUGUAGUGUGUAUGUGCACAAUUUUGGGGUGCUAGACCAAGAUGGAGAUUUUAAAAUUCACAAUCCCCCCUGAUGAUGAUUGGGGGACUAGUCUCCCCAAUUGAUCACUAAACAUAAGCAUACUGCACCCCAUAAAAUUCUAACUGUAAGUGUAUACAAAAAAUUUACCCACUAAGAGGAAAACUAUAAUAGUUGUAGAUAUGGGGAAAUAGAGGAGAAAGACAGCAAACCAAUGUUUUGCUGGGCGCAUUGACAAAAGCCAAUUAGGGGGCAGUUCCCUUUGGCAUAAGAGUGUACAUUCAAAAAAUGUUCAAUCAAUCACACCCCAAGGUUCAUUCUGGAUCUUCCUGUAGUGAAAAGGUUUAGAUAUCUUUCUGCAAACAGUUCAUUCUCUGGAUUCAGUUAGUUAGCAAGCUUCUUCUCUGAAGAUCUAUCUUGAACCAAUUUCUCUUACCAAUUGAUUCAUAUACCUGAGCCAUGCAUCCCUAAGUGAUCCCGGGUUUUUUAAUCACCCUCUUAACGGGGGGAAUGUAAAAAAAUAUUAUUAUUUUAAAUUUCAAAGUUUAAAUUCCUUUUGAGAAGAAUUUUAGGUAAAAAUGAAGAUGCUACCUCUCUGAAUCCAGAACUGAACUGUUGGAGAAGCCACCAUGAAGAAGCCUCCAGACCACAAGCUGCACAAAAAUGAACUUUGGGUGUGGUUGAUUGAACAUUUACUUAUAUGUAUACUUUUAUGCCAAAGGGGACUGCCCCCUAACUGGCUUUCUGUCAAUGCAUCCAGUAAUUAUUGGUUUUGUUCUUUUUUUUUCUCUUAUCCUCAAAUUAUUAUAAUCUUUAAAUUGAUUAUGUUUUUAUGAUCCUUUGGGGAAGGACUUCUUCCCAGAGGAUUUGAACUCUGGACUUCAAUCCCCACAAGCCCUUGCUCCACUUCCCCAAAAUGCUUUGUAAUCUCAUGGGAAUUCUGAUCGAGGAAGGAUUUAAGCUGGUGGGAAAGGCUCUCUCUUUUUGGCUUUUUUGGACUUCCGUUUUGGAGCAGAGGCAUUUCUUCCAUGAUGUGAGGUUAUUUUGUCUAGGCCUCUGGCCUAGGCACAUGUUUCUUACUUGUAUAUUCUUUAAUCCUUAAUCCUUAAUAAACCUCUAAAAAAUAUAAUACCCCUUGCAGAGAGAAACUAAUUUCUACCUGCCUCGGUCUCCCCAUAUUCCUAAAUUUUAGUCUUUACAGUAGCUCAGUGGCUUGAGAGCCAGGCCUAGAGAUGGGAGGUCCUAGGUUCAAAUCUGGCCUCAGACACUUCCUAGCUGUGUGACCUUGGACAAGUCACUUAACCCCCAUUGCCUAGUCCUUACCACUCUUCUGCCAGUCCUCUUAGAACCAGUACAGAAGUAUUGAUUUUAAGAUAGAAGGUAAGGAGGGAGUAGGGAGGAGGAGAAGGAGGAGGGGGAGGGAGAGAAGGGGGGAGUAGGGAGGAGGAGAAGGAGGAAAAGGAAAAGGAGAAGGAGAAGGAGAAGAAGAGGUGAAAGGGAAACUUAAGGCACAAAUUUAGAAGAUAAUAACUUUAAAAUAUCUAUUGAAUACCUAUUAGAUUAAGCCACAUUGAUAGGCCCUGUGGGGGAUACACACAGAACCAAAGUCAUUGCCCUCAAGGAGUUUAUAAUCUAUUAAACAAUAAGAGGUUGAAACCAUAACAAGAAAAUUAAAAAACAACUUUACUGGAUUGUGGAAAAAUCAUUGCAUUUUGUAUUUGUUUUUCCCAGUGAAUAUAAAGGGAAAACUUGAAUAUACUAUUGAAUAUAACUAAAAGACCAUUAGUCUCCUUAUUUUAUAUACUCUACUUAGAGGGAGCAUGAUGUAGCAGAGAUUGUUGGAUUUGGAGACAAAGCAUAAGGGUUCUGUCUCUCACUACAUGUCAAUCAUGUCUGGACAUUGGCAUACUCUACCAUGAAUUAUCAUUGAUCAUUCCCUUUUCUUCUGGGGAACCAAAUGGUCACAACCACAGGGUCUUGAAGGAACAAUUUAUGAGCAUCCUUAUGCUGUCUCUGUGAUCAUAGAAGCCACUUAAAUUAUUGGGGCCUCAACAUCCUCAUCCACAAAAUCAGAGGGUUAGAACUCAAAGAUCCUUGCAUCUCUAAAGGAAUGUCUCUAAAUAACAGUCAAAUCAUUUCUUUACCACUUGAGUACAUGAUAAAUGAAUCAAAGCUUUUGAGAUCUAACCCUACCCAGUUCCAAACCUCUUCCAUGCCCAUAAGCCUCUGCUCUCCCUAAAGGUAGCAUUCCUACUACUGAUUUCUUUCCUAUGAGUAACAUGUAAAUUAAAUAAUUAGGGAUCCUAGUAAAGCUCCUGAGCUUUAUUAUUGAACUUAAUGCUUCCUGCAUGACAACUGGUCAUUAGCAUCUUUCUAGGAAAACAAACUAUAUCCCUAUGUAGAUAUUACAGAAAACAGGAAUUUUUCUGUAGUUUAAGUUCAGCAUGUUUUUUUGUUUGGGUCUGUCAUUUCAUCAGUACUGAUAAUUUAUGGUCCAAUAAAUUCUCUGGGAGACCUGAAAAGUUACACAGUAGGUACUCAGAAAAAGGACUUGGAAAAAAGUCUUCUUGAUUCCAGACUAGCCUUAUUCUCUAUCCAUUAUUCCAUGAGGCUUCUAAGGUUUAGUAUCAACUCCUGUUUCCAUAACCACUCUAGGGUCCUAUAAACACUUGUUCCACACAAGCCCAUUAGGUAAACUUAGGGCGAUACAGUAGGGGAGCAAUGUUUUCAUAGGUGUAAGCCACUACCAGAUGAGGAAACUCCCUCUACUAAAUAUAAAAAUGUCAUCUCUGAAACUUGUCUCAGAGCAUGAGUUACCUAUAGUCACAAAGCCAACAUGCAUAAGAGACAGCACUUGAACCCUGAUUUUCCUGGUUUUCAGGCUCUCUUUCCACUAUUCCAUGCUGUCUCAUCAAGGAUUAUAAUUCCUGUUUUUCAAAGGAGAAAACAAAUGUAUAAAGUGAAUUAAAUGACCAUGGUUGCAAAGGGAGUAAUAGAGCUAAGAUUUCAAUAGACUGUCUGGCUCCCAAAUCCAAUGUCCUUUCUAGCAAGCCUUUUCCCCAACACAUGAAAGAUGGUUACCACAAGAUAACUAUGAUGUGACCUUUUCUGUUAUUUUCACUGUAGGGUUAUAGAACAGAAUCUAUUUAAAUCUAGUUCUCCCAUUACAGUACAUUUGUUUCAGGGGAGGAAAAAAAACAGCUGCACUUUCUGUACACAUAUCACAGUUAAUUUGUUUUGCUCAUUUCAUUUCCACUAGUCGUCCCACGGCUCAUUGUGCCAUGCACAUGAUCCUGGCCACUGAAAACCAGCUCUGAAUACUCAAGUAUAGAUACUGAAAUGGACUAUACAAAGUCCCAGAAUCCCCAGGAUGGUCACAGUGUGAUGAGUUUUUUGACUACUACAUCUCUUAGAAAAGCAUCUGUUACAGUGCCUUAUAGCAGAGAAAAAAAUACACAUACCAACAGUAACAGGGCCUCAAAAUAUUGUUCCAUUUUUUUGUAGUUAUUGAUAUAUUUUUUUGAGAUUGGAUUCAAAGGUGAAGCAACCUUAUUAGAACUGGUGACCAUGGAAGUAAAGAGUAGAUGUAAGGCACUACAGACAUAGAGCAACAUAUUUUAGUGUGACAAUGGUAAGGGAGAGAGAGUCAAAGACUACUCCAGUUUUUAGCCUGAAUAAAUGUAAAGAUUGUGUUAUGGUUAUUGUUAUAAUGAUCACAAAAAGGGAAAUCAGGACAAGUGAAUUUUGGGAAAAAUAUAGGAUUAGUUUUAGGCAUACUGAGUUGCUUACCCAAAACUACAUGGAAGUAUCCAACAAGCAAUUGGAACGGGAGGGACUGGGAAAAAUUAGGGCUGGUGAUAAUGUGGGAAUUAUUCAUGCACUCUGAUGUUUAAGCCAUAAAGGGUUAGUUGGUCAGGGAAGAUGAGAUCACAAAGGGACAGAGUGUGGAAAGAGGAUGGAGGGUGAAGAAAAGAAACUUGGGAUGACCUCCCAAUUUAGGGGAUGAGUUUUUAAGAUAGAGAAGGAAAAGAAGUGAUCAUGAGGUAGUGAGAAGAGAAAGGAAUAGUGUCACAAAAGCCAAGGGAGGGGGUAUUCAAAGACUGUAGAAGUUAAAGACGAUGAGAACUUAGAAAAUGUCAGUGGAACUGUUAGCUAAACCUUUGGUGAAUUUCAAGAAAGCAUUUUCAGAGUAGUGAUGGCUAGAAUAAGAAUAACUCUUUGAAUAACUAGUUCUAGAACAUUGGUGAUGAAAAGGAGUUGGGGGGUAGCUGGAGUGGUAACAGGUGAGGGAUUUGUUUGCUUUUUAAGGAUAAAGAGGUAUACAAAGUGUAGUGAGCAGAAGCAGGAGAAUAUUAAAUACAGUAACAGCAAUAUAGUAGGAUGAUCAGCUGUGAAUGAAUUACCUAUUAUCAGCAAUACAAAGAUCCAGGACAAGUCCAAGGAAUUCAUGAUGAAAAAGGCUACCACCAUAGAAAGAACCGACACAGUCUGAAUGUAGAUUGAUGCAUACCACUAAUUUUAUUUCCUCAAUGCAUUUUUCCCUAAUGUAAGCAAUGUGUCUUCUUUUACAACAUGAUCAACAUAGAAAUAUAUAUUGUAUGAUAAGACACGUACAACCUAUAUCAUAUUAUCUGUCCUCUUCGGGAAGGGAGAAAGUUAAGAGAGAGGAAGAGAACAUGUAUUGCAAACUGUCAAAAAAUGAUUAUUAAAAGUUGUAUCCACAUGUAAAAAAAAUUUUAAACUUUUAAAAAAUGAAGAGAAUAGGAAGCAGGUAUAUUGGGGAAAUCAUUAGAUUUGGAAUCAGGAGAAUUAGGGUAAACAUGCACAAAAUAGAGGAAGUCUGGAUACAUUUGUAGACCAAAGGGAUACAGCUAGUAGUGAGGGUAAAAAAUUGAUAGUGCAAUUGGAUAUUGGAUAAAUGAAGCAGGAAUGGGCUGGAGAGCACAGGUGGGUGAUUGUGGGAGCAUAUUAAAAAAAGGAUAACCUCACACCCUUAAUUACCUGGGUGACCCUAAGUAACUCACUCAACCUAGCUAAGCCUCAAUUUCCUCAAAAAUUUUCAAAAUCUACAAAUUGAGGGAAUUAACACGGGGGUGAGGGCAAAGGAUUAGAGGUGCUAACAGUAAAAUCUAUGAUUCCCCAAUAAGAAUCCCAGCAAACCCAGUUUCCCCUCUCUUCAUUUGGUCCCCCAUUAACCCACUUUUAUUGAGAACUCAGUAUACAUAGAGAACUAUACUAAGUAUACAUAAAGGUAAACAGCUUAAUUUUUCACUAAUACAUUUACUUUCACAAUGACCCAGACCUGUAAUAAGUAAUCUCCAAAAGCAGUAAUAUUUUGCAGUGGUGUUGAUUGACAGUUGCAGGACAAGGUCUUGUUGCUCUAAUCUUCACAGAGUGGAAGAAACACUGGCAUUCACUGAAUGCUUCUGUCAAAGGGACCACUGCCCAGGAUGAUGUAUGACUGACAACUGCACAAACUCUUGUUCUGCACAGCCUUCUAGCAGUCAAAAAUACACUGUAACUGUUGUAAACAACUGUGCUUCAGUUAGUUUUCUCUCAGGGGUUGGAUGAGGUGCAGGAAGACAGAGAAGUCUUCUUUAAGUCAUACCAAAGACAACCUUAUGAGUUCUGUAAAUUUUUCUGCUGUAAUUUCUAUCCAUCCAUCAGCAAAUAUUUAUUGAACACAUACCUGGCAUUGCAAAAACAAAGGCAUACACUCAGCUUUUGCUCUCAAAGAGCUUACAUUCUAUCCAGAGCUUAUAUUUCUAUACUUAACUCCUGCAUAUUGGUGAUAAAAAAAAAUGCCUGCAGUUUUCUAACACCUUCCUUCUUGGAAUCAAAACUGUGUAUUGGCUCCAAGAUAGAAGAGUGGUAAGGGUUAGGCAAUGGGGAUUAAGUGACUUGCCCAGGGUCACACAACUGGGAAGUGUGAGGACAAAUUUGAACCCAGGACCUCCUGUCUCUGGGGCUCUCAAUCCACUGAGCCACCUAACUGUCCCCUCUCCCCUUAAUCUGAGUUGAUACUGAGCCAAGUAUGAUAGGUAUAUCUUUUUCUUUGGUAGAGUUAGUACUUUUUGAUGUUGUCUUCUUCAGGCUUAACUAGUCACCCAUUUAAUAUGGAACAGAAGUUUGGUCUAAACAUGGAUACUAGAAGCAGAACCAAUUUUAAAGGGAAAUAAAAGGCAAGAAAAUUGAAAAAUCAAGACUAAAUUUUAAAACAAAGUAAGAGGAGAGUAUCAGAAUUUGGGGGUUUUAUAUAUUUUUUUUAAUUUAAAAAACAUUCCUUUUUAAAUAUAAUAGCCCCAUUAGUUCCAUCCCUGAAGUUCAUUCCAGGAGAUAUAUCCCAGUAUUGAGAUUUCAGCCCAGUCUGAACUAGAGCAGGGGGAUGAAAUAGAAGAUUUUAUUAAAACCAUUUUGAGGAAAUACUUAAAUGCUAAUAAUUUACUAAAAUGCUUUCCUUAUAACCAACCUUUGAGGGAAGUAGUCCAAAAAUGAUUACUUCUUUUCAUAUACCCUGGUAUUUAGCAAAGUGACAAUUUUAGUUUUUUCUUUUAAUGAUGUGUGAUAGGUAAAGUACAACCUGUUAUUUAAAUUACUUUAAAUAUCCAGGAGAGGUUUCCCUCAGCUUCCCUCUCCCCCUUUCUCCCCCAUUAAACCUUAAAGCCUUACCUUGAUGAAGCCUGCCAUGACCAUUCGAGGUAAAAGUGAAUGAUCUCCCCUAGCAGUGAUUACAUAUAACCCUUGUUUAACAAUUAUCUACCAUCUUGAGUUGGUGAUUUUUUUAGAUGAAUUUAUCAUUGUUCCCCUUCCUCUUCUGUAGUUCCUUAAAGACAGAGACCAGUUUUCAUUCUAGUCUGGGAGAUAAUUUUGUAGCCUAGGGCUGAUCCCAUAGUAUAUACCUGAAUAUGUGGACUAGUUAAUUCAAGGGAUCCCAAGUUUCAAGGUUAGCAGAAAUUUUAAAAUAGAUUAUCCCAAAGACUUUGGCCCUCAACAUUAUUUUCCAAUUGUGCAGAACAAAAGACUGCCAAGGGAGUUGACUAUGGGAAUCCACAUUCUCUCCCAUCCACCUUUGCCCAUUCAUAAACACUAAGCCCUUUAAAAUGCUUCAAGUUGGGGACAGCUGGGUAGCUCAGUGGAUUGAGAGCCAGGUCUAGAGAUGGGAGGUCCUGGGUUCAAAUCUGGCCUCAGACACUUCCUAGCUGUGUGACCCUGGGCAAGUUACUUGACCCACAUUGCCUAGCCCUUACCACUCUUCUAUCUUAGAACCAAUACACAGUAGUGAUUCUAAGACAGAAGGCCAGGGUUUAAAAUAAAAUAAAAUAAAAUGCUUCAAGUAUAGUGACUACAAAUUUUAAGUUCAAACAACUUGUUACUCCCAGGCCUAGGAACCCAACACCCAUAUAUAUGGGGUAUGUACCACAAACACUACACUGCCAAGGAUAACUCACAGUUAGGUAAUAAAGAAGAAAGCUAGGGAAGUAUAUUCACUAAAGGCACAGCCAUACUCCCUGGAGUAUGAGCUAUUUGGCACAUGUGGCUCUGUCCUCUUUCUUUUUUCAAGAGAUGCUAAACCUCCACUUCAGUCCUCCUCUCAUGCCUCACUGUCUAUAGAGGCUCUUGAGGAGACCCUGGUUCUGAAAGGUUAUGCCAAUGGAGUACAAAACCUGUCCAGCUGUACCAAGCUGCAAAGGUGUAAAGUACUGCUGGGCAACAAAUUUUAUGUUUGCAGUGAAAGGACCAAUAGCCAGAGUUCCAAGGCUCAUUACCAGGUUAGCCACCAGGUAUUUUGUUGUUGUUGUUUAUCCAUAAUGACUCAAAAACCUAUUAAAGUAUAGAGGAGUCACAAUGUUAGCGGUGGUGAGUACAAGCUGUUGAUAUUAUAUAUCUUUGAAGUGCUGAGUAUUAAGUGCUGACAAUAUCUAGCUUUAUCUGUAUUUAGCUGGCUGACACAUUUUAAGUAAUGACCCCUGCAGUUUUAAGAUGCAGUUAAUUUGAAGUACUUAAUACUUCACAUACUAUUUUUCUAAUUUGUAUCUUCUUUCCUCACAAUAGUUUGUAUGUGUUAAUAACACACACAAAAGUGAAGUGAAAUGGUAUCUAAUUCAAAACAAAACACUUCAGACUAGUAUGGGAAAAAAUUACAUUCAUUCUGUAUUUUCCUUUAUAUAUGCAGAUAAUAACUAUCAUAUUUUGGUUCAAUUUUCUUAAAAUAUUAUUUAACAUUAGAAUUUUGAUUGAAUGCAUAUUUGCAAUUAUGGUAUAAACUCUCAACUAGUCAUUGCAAUUCAGCCACAGUUCAGACAUCCUGUUAUUAAAGCACCUAAUCUAUCUUUGAUCAAGUAUGGGAAAGUCUUUCUUAAUUACACUUAAUUAUCCUGCUCUCAAAAAAGUAGUGUAUGAUAUAAAAUUUUUAUUCAAUAUUAUGGUUAUAUAUGGUAGAUACAUGACUUGGAUAGAUUUUAUAGGACUAAUAGGUAUAGAUAGGGAAAGUUUAACUGGAGAUAGAGAUAAAAUGUAGUUGAUAUUUAAUCUUAAUGACAACAUCUACAUCAUAUUUAAUGUAGCUGACAUUUAAAAUUUAAAUAUGCCUGCAGACUCAGUGAGAACAAACUAUGGGUCUUAUAUGAGGUUCUUUGCAGUAACACAAAAUCACUCAGAUACUGCUAUUAUUGAUUGUUAUUAGCCUUACAAAGACACACACAAGAUUCCAACAAAAUGCUCAAUAAUUUAUUAAACGAAUUUUUAUUAAUCAACCAAAGGAAUAACAAUUUCUCCUAGAUUUUUCUAUGUACGUUUCCCAUUUCUUAUCAAUUUGCAUGAGGUCUCCUGGGCAAACAGAGCAAAAGAACUUAAGAUCAUGUCUGAGGAAAGGAAGGUUUGAGUGCAGGUCUUGCAAAAUAUGUUUCUGGUCAUAUUAUGUUUUAUAUAAAAACUGCUAUAGAAGUACAAGAGCAGUAAAUGGUGAUGAGGAGUGACUCAAAUCUGAACACACCAAAAAUAUUAAUGUGAUACCCGAAUGGACAUUGGGUAACUCAUUUCCUGUACCUAAGACCACAGUAGGGGUUCAUACAAGUUGAAAAUACUUCCAAAACAUAUGUUAAAGGAUAGAAGUUCAAAAUUUGAAAUGAAAUUUAUUACUGCUGUGUGUUCAGUAAGAUUCUUAAUAUCUCAUACAUACAAAUCAGGUUACAGUGAAGUGAGUUAAGCUUAUUAAGGGUUUAGCUCAGCAGCUGUUUUCUGGCAUAUGUUUUCAGCAGAAGUAUAAAAUAGAAACAUGUCUGUCACAGUGAGGCCCCUCCCUAAGCCACCUUUCCCCAGGUCAAAUAAGAGUCAAUGUAACCAAGUUCUUUUACAUCUUGUUGUUUAAGCUAUUUGCGGACAUACAGAGAAUUUAUCAUCUCUUCAGAGGUAGAAUAUUUUAAUU